AAAUUUUAAAGUUCUUGCUCACUUCCACUGUAUACAGCAGUGUUUGGAUGGAAGGUGUGUAGCAUGUGAUCGUCGCAUUGACUAUGAUAGAGAAAGUUGAGCAGAUAAUCUGCAUCAAAUUUUGACAAAAGCUUGGCGAUACCUGCUCAGAGGCC